GCCACCCAAGCUGCUAGGACUAAAGACAUGUGCCACCCACCUGGUUCCAGUGAAGUUUGUAUAGGCUACAAGACAAUUUCAUGGGUACAAUGGCACAAAGACCUCACAGAAACCCUUGAGAAUGGGCAGAGAAGCCUUCCUAGGACUCCCUCCAUACAAAGAAGACCCAAGCUUCAGAGAAAUAUGUCUUGCCAACGGCCAUCAACUUGUAGUAAGAGAGCCAGGACCUAGGUCCUCCAGGGCCUCCCAGGCUUUCAAAUGACACUUCUCGUAUAACUUCUUAACUGAGUCAGAGUCAUAAUUGCUUCCUCUUCUGUGAGCACACAUGAUUCUCUUUUCCUAAAGUGGGGGGAGGGGCGUAUUUUCAAAGUCAUUUUCUUCCACGGACCCACAGGACCUUGUCACGGUGCUUUGUCACCUAAUGGUCAUUCAGGGCCCAAAGACUCCAAAAAUGACAGAGCUGUCUCCUCCCUCUCAUUAAAUAAACAAAAACUCAAAUGUGUCAGAGGUACU
rnacentral:lncRNA from 1 species